UAUUGAUGAGCCCAAUCUUGUAUAAGUAAUCACACUCACUGUGGGUUGAAGAGUGGCCACAACCACAUUACAAUCUGUCCUGGAUCUCGGUGACCUUUUCCUUCUUUAGAGGCCACAACACUACACACAGAACAACUUGUAGAAGAUACUCUAGAGGACUGGAUACAAUGGAAGGUGAGAACUACCCAACUGAAAGGCCAGAAGCAGGUUGGAGCCAGAAAUGACCCCAUCAAGGCUAUGUUCAUUGGGCUGAAGUCAAAAGCUGAUGUUGGGAAACCAUGAGUAGGAAAGCAAAGCUACAGUCAAACAAAGAAGACAUCAAAUGAUAAGCUGACAAAAUCAGACUUCUAUCCUCAAGGAAGUAGGAAAGCUCCAUAGACUUUUCAAAUGAUUCUGUGUGAUAAAGUGUAGUAGAGAGAAUAGUCUUAAAAAGUAUACGAUAAAUUUCACUAGGUUAGAGGGACUACUACCAGGGUCUUGUAACGGGAACUAAUGCAAGAUGGAAAGAUGCGGAAGAAAUGAAAGACUGGUCACAGCACACAAGAAAAGGGACCACAGUAUGGCCGUCAAUUGACAUGUGUCACAUGCCAAAAACUCACCAACUUCUUUAUAUGUGUUCUCUUAUUUAACUUCAUUAAUCCUAAAAAAUAUGAGUCAGAAAUAACAGAAACCCAGGCUUUGAGAGAUUGCAUGAUUCGAGACGGGUCACACAGCUGGUGAUGAAUUAAAAUGAAGUGCAAGUCAGUACUCCCUCUGUGGCACUUGGCUGCACAGGUCACCUCGUGGCACAAUAGUCACAUGCUAACCACAUCAGCAACAAGAGGACAUCAGCACAGGGCAUGGUUCUUUAAAGGGCCCAAGCAACCCCAAUUUAGAUCUAUUCUUCCUCCUCUGUCAGCUCAAAGGGAGGUCUGGCUUGGUUAGCCUGCCAUCUGUAGUUGCAUGUCAAAUGAAUUUUAUUUCCACAUAC